UACAGAGGUCUCAAGCGUUUGUUCGGAUUCAUUGGGCGUAAAGGGUGCGUAGGCGGCGCGGUAAGUCGGGUGUGAAAUCUCAGAGCUCAACUCUGAAACUGCACUCGAUACUGCUUUGCUUGAGGACUGGAGAGGAGAUUGGAAUUCACGGUGUAGCAGUGAAAUGCGUAGAUAUCGUGAGGAAGACCAGUGGCGAAGGCGGAUCUCUGGACAGUUCCUGACGCUGAGGCGCGAAGGCCAGGGGAGCAAACGGG
rnacentral:rRNA from 1 species